UUAAAAUUUUUACUUAUAGAGACGAUUAGAAUUCAAAAAUGUUAGUUUCAAGUAGUACAAUUUAUUUAGAUGCUAUACUAUUCUUUCUAUAUUAAUAAAUAAAUAGUAAUUUAAUAGUAAUUCUCCAUUUUCACCUCCAUUUUCUAAAUAAUUAUCGUAUUGAUAUUUAUAACUUAGGUACGUAUAGCAAGAAAAUAUGAACCGUAUUUUGAAUAGUAAAGAAUCUGGAAUUUCUUCAAUAUUGAUACUCAUGAAAGUACGAUAUCAGUGGGGUGUGCCCAUCAAGAUGAGUCACGAAUUUCGCAGAAACCACAUCUAGAUAGCAAACUCAAAAGGGAAAGUUUGAACAAAGAUGUGGAAGAUUAAAUAGAAUUACAAAACGUAGAAUUUUGGCAUCUAUCUAAUAUUCUAGAAGACAAUAGUAAUAAUAGUUGUUACGUCAGUAGACGCGUUCAUCUGCCUAAAUUGCAACAAGUGGUGAAGCAAUUGUUUCGAGUUAAUCGAACGUUAAGAUAACGAGGGUUCGUCGGACCGAUUAGCGCUUUGAAAUACGGACAGAAGAUAAAAAAUACUGGAACAUUGAGUGACACACAUUGAUCGACAAUUGUCUGAGGAUUAUUGAUUCAUAAAUAAUUGAUUCAAGGAAGUAGCUUGUAAAUCAUAACAAUGGAUAACAAAGCAUUUUAUAAAUUAUUGAAAGGAAUCUUGUCGAUAAUGCAUUGUCGAUUAAAUCCAAAUUAUCCUCAAUAUGAAAUUGAUGUGAAGUUCAAAUUCAAAGUAGAAAAUAUGCAGAAGUGGCAAUUAUUAUUUAUCAAUGCAGAGUUUAAUUUAUCGCGAUAUCAAUUACUAUGAUUGAAAAUCAAUCAUAGCAAUCAAUCAAGUCCUAUUGCAUUUUACGCGUAACUAUGAAAUCAGAGAAAAUUAUUUACCUACUGAUACUUUAUCAAUAAUAUUAAACGAUUAAUUUCGUUAGUAUUAUAAUAUUUAUACAGGAUAAAUGUGCUUUACUACAAAAUUGGAAGUGCAUUGGAGUCUUUUGUAAGGCUCUGCCUUGAACUUUUUAUUGUUCAAAAUCUGGUUCAUAUUUUUUUUACUAUACUUACUUAAAUUACUUAAAUUACAUGUAAGUAUAUACGAAUGAGAAUUUUAUUGAGGAUAAUGAUGACAAUAUAAAAUAAAUUACUAUUUAUGAUUAUUAAUGUAGAAACUUCUUUUAGACGGAUGUUAAAUCAAACGUGUUUCCUAAAAUGAUGAUAACAAACUUAAAUGCUAAUUGUAAGCAACAUUUAAAAACGGAAGGAUUAUCUUCUGUGUAAUAGUACUAUUCUAACAAAAGAGGGCGAACCUGUAGUCCGUACUACAGAAGGAACACACAUGAAUGUAUUACACAAGAUAUAGAAAAGCCUUAUAUCGAAUGUUCAUGUCAUUCUAACGAACUCAUUCAUUUCCAAAACGGUUCGUUCACUUUCUUCGUUCACCACAUAUACUAUCACUUGUAUAAAUUUUCCCAAUGCAGUCGUUUAUAAAACAACACUAGACACAAAUACACAUUUGCUUGUUUUCAGAUAACAAAUAGACUUAAUCCAGUUUAAAAUGAUGGAGGAGCAAUACGAUUUUUUCACGAUUAUUUUGGCGAAAUCAGUUUCUGGACCGCUGUCUGAGUCAGACUGCCCUAACAGCGUGCGUCCUGCGCGGGAGAGCGUUUGCACACGGCACGACACGACGCGGAGUUUAAUCUCUAUUAAUAAAUACCCGCUUUGCCUCGGCCAGAAUAGAGAGCAGCUCUCCACUGCCGGUUCUUUGAAUUCAUACGCGGUGUUUCAUAUCAGAGUUCGUAGCAAACGCGAACCGAUUUUAUCUUUAAUUUGAUUUUUAUCGACGAAUUCACCAGGGAGAGAUUCGAUCGAGUUAAUAGGGAAACAAUGAAAUUUUGAUAUACAUCAGUUGAUUAUGAUUCUCGAGUUUGAAUUUGAGCCAAUUCUCGAACUACUGUUAUGGAAAAUCGAUUUCCGGAUUGAAAACUAAAAAUAGCUCCAAGUUUCUUUUCAUUUUGCGAAGCAGUACCUUUGAAAGGUUGCAUUCUCCCUUUCUUAACUUGAGAGCUAAGAGGAGAAAAAAAAUAUUGUUGAAAGAAUAUUUCUUAUUCUAUAAAUAGUUAUCAUUAUGAAACGAUUUAUCUUAAUUGUUAUCAAAUUGCAUAUUAUAACAUUAUCAACUUAUCUUGUGAUACGAGAAAGAUAUUGAUAAUAAAAUAACAUACAUAUUAUUCGAUAAUUAACGAUUAGACAAAUAUCAACGACAAAAUUGUUGUAUACGUGGGCACCCUUUUGCAAUUCCAAAACACGUUUUUCUUUCUACAACCCACAUGGCUUUGUUCUCUUCUUUCUUUUUCUUCUGAGGAUACAUGGAGGAUACCCAUAUAAAUCUCAACGCGUGAAUAAAGGUGUCAGAUUGUAAUUAACCAGAAGAACAUGAUAUACAGGCGGCUGCAAACGAUUCUUAAGCUAUUUUUCCGACGCAGGCAAACAAAAAAGGCCGAGUGCUCCGAGGAACAAGGUCACUGGAUCCUAAUAAGAGUUCGUGCCUAAAUGAGAAAUGGAUGAAUCACUGCUAGUACAAUUAUCUCCAACAACCUCGUAAACUGAUCAUUAUUAUCCGUACUUAUAAUUUCACAGUAAAUAAAGUCGUGUUAAUAAAUGAUACAACGUAUUGAUCGGCAUAUUUGCACAAAACUCAGUGCAAACGGGAGAGCUUCUCUAUUAGAUGUAACCUUCGCAUCGAUUUUAUGUAUAACAGAGGUCAAUGACGUAUUAGGUUCAACUAUGCCUUAGAACUAUAAAGAAGACGACAAGAAUUU